AUUGAACGCUGGCGGCAUGCUUUACACAUGCAAGUCGAGCGGCAGCGCGGGGACAACCCUGGCGGCGAGCGGCGAACGGGUGAGGAAUACAUCGGAACGUACCCGGAAGUGGGGGAUAACGCCGCGAAAGCGGCGCUAAUACCGCAUAUUCUGUGCGCAGGAAAGUGGGGGACCCGCAAGGGCCUCACGCUUUUGGAGCGGCCGAUGUCCGAUUAGCUAGUUGGUGGGGUAAAGGCCUACCAAGGCGACGAUCGGUAGCUGGUCUGAGAGGAUGAUCAGGCACCCUGGGACUGAGACACGGCCCAGACUCCUACGGGAGGCAGCAGUGGGGAAUUUUGGACAAUGGGGGCAACCCUGAUCCAGCCAUGCCGCGUGCGGGAAGAAGGCCUUCGGGUUGUAAACCGCUUUUAGCCGGGAAGAAAAGGGCAGGGUGAAUAACUCUGUCAUUUGACGGUACCGGCGGAAUAAGCACCGGCUAACUACGUGCCAGCCGCCGCAGUAAAAC
rnacentral:rRNA from 1 species